UCGAACGGUAGCACAGGGGAGCUUGCUCUCCGGGUGACGAGUGGCGGACGGGUGAGUAAUGUCUGGGGAUCUGCCCGAUGGAGGGGGAUAACUACUGGAAACGGUAGCUAAUACCGCAUAACCUCGAAAGAGCAAAGUGGGGGACCUUCGGGCCUCACACCAUCGGAUGAACCCAGAUGGGAUUAGCUAGUAGGUGGGGUAACGGCUCACCUAGGCGACGAUCCCUAGCUGGUCUGAGAGGAUGACCAGCCACACUGGAACUGAGACACGGUCCAGACUCCUACGGGAGGCAGCAGUGGGGAAUAUUGCACAGUGGGCGCAAGCCCGAUGCAGCCAUGCCGCGUGUAUGAAGAAGGCCUUCGGGUUGUAAAGUACUUUCAGCGGGGAGGAAGGGAUGAAGGUUAAUAACCUUCGUCAUUGACGUUACCCGCAGAAGAAGCACCGGCUAACUCCGUGCCAGCAGCCGCGGUAAUACGGAGGGUGCAAGCGUUAAUCGGAAUUACUGGGCGUAAAGCGCACGCAGGCGGUUUGUUAAGUCAGAUGUGAAAUCCCCGGGCUCAACCUGGGGACUGCAUUUGAAACUGGCAAGCUUGAGUCUCGUAGAGGGGGGUAGAAUUCCAGGUGUAGC
rnacentral:rRNA from 1 species